CCCUUAGAUGUUCGGGGCCGCACGCGCGCUACACUGAAUGAAUCAGCGAGUGUAUGUCCUAGGCCGAAAGGUCCGGGUAACCCGUUGAACCUCAUUCGUGAUUGGGAUAGGGACUUGCAAUUGUUUCCCUUGAACGAGGAAUUCCCAGUAAGCGCAAGUCAUCAGCUUGCGUUGAUUACGUCCCUGCCCUUUGUACACACCGCCCGUCGCUGCCCGGAACUGAGCCGUUUCGAGAAGACUGGGGACUGCGAACUUUGGGCUGGAAAACAGCUUUUUGUUUGUGGAAACCACUUUAAUCGCAGCGGCUUGAACCGGGCAAAAGUCGUAACA
rnacentral:rRNA from 1 species